CCUACGGGAGGCAGCAGGGAGGAAUAUUGGGCAAUGGGCGCGAGCCUGAACCAGCCAAGUAGCGGGAAGGAUGAAGGCCCUACGGGUUGUAAACUUCUUUUAUAAAGGAAUAAAGUGAGGCACGUGUGCCUUUUUGUAUGUACCUUAUGAAUAAGGAUCGGCUAACUCCGUGCCAGCAGCCGCGGUAAUACGGAGGAUCCGAGCGUUAUCCGGAUUUAUUGGGUUUAAAGGGAGCGUAGAGGGGUUGUUAAGUCCGUUUUGAAAGUUUGCGGCUCAACCGUAAAAUUGCAAUUGAUACUGGCAGUCUUGAGUACAGUUGAGGUAGGCGGAAUUCGUGGUGUAGCGGUGAACUGCUUCGAUAUCACGCAGAACUCCGAUUGCGAAGGCAGCUUACUAAACUGCCACUGACAUUGAUGCUCGAAAGUGUGGGUAUCAAACAGGAUUAGAUACCCUAGUAGUC
rnacentral:rRNA from 1 species